AAUAUUAAUAAAUACUAAUAUUGAUAAGUUAUUGUAAACUUGUUUAUUAAUAUUUUAUCUGACAAAGUACUUGUGUGAUACAAACAACCAAAACACUGUAUUUAAACCAGCACAUGUCCAGAAACUACUGGAAAAAGGACAGCUAUUUUUUCAGGCCAAAUCCCUCAUUUCUUCUACUAACACCGUUAUUGAUUGAAGUGUUAUUGAAUGAACUGUAUGUCUGAGCUGAUCUGGAUCAAAAGCCCCCUUUUUUUUUUCAUUAAUCUGUUUUCUAGCAUGCUGUAGGUGGCACAGGGAGGGGAAUGGACAUAGUUUGAUCAGAUUAAACACUACACAAAGCCAAACCUGACUCAGCAAACUGAGAGAGAUUACUUUUUCAGCAAGCUGUGUUCCCAGAUGCAAUUUACAGCUCAGGUACGUAAGUGAGGGAGGCAGUGAGUCAGAGCAGCUGGAAACAAGAAUGGUGGGAUUAACCAUGUUAGAGAUAGGCCAGAUUUAUGUCAGGUUUAAAUGACUACACAGCUGUUCCUUGAGAAAAGCAUAAAGUAAAAGAAUAAAAGCAUAAAAAAAGAAACACAUAGGGAAAGCAGGUUAGAAAAGUACACAGUGUCCAGCAGCUUAUUGAAAAGUAGCUACCCAAGCAGAAAACAUCUUUCUGAGAAUUUCAUACACGUGGUUCCCUAGCUGUGGAAUUUACAAUAUAUUCACAUUAGCUUAGCAGAAGUAUGAACUGGAAGAUAUAAGGAUUAUAAUUAAAUAUUUUACAUUUCAAAGCUGGCAUUCAGAAGCUGGAUGGAAUGUGACAGCAGUGCAUGACACCAAAGUCCUGCCAGCAACCUGGCUGAAACUUAAAAGAUUUUUCUUCUGACUUCAAGCAGCUGGUUGUUAUCUUGAACCCUGAUACUGAAAAUGUAACAUUGUUAACAGUUUCCUCACUUCUGUUUUAGCAGAAUUAUUUCCAUGAAAGCACAUGCGUCCAUUAAAUGGCUGUCUUUUUACCAUAAAUCAUUGUUUGCUGUAUUGUUAUGGCUUCAUAAGCAUUAUUAGUGGAAAUUAGGCUAAAUAUGUUAUGUAGUUUUUAUGUUGAAAUGUAAAUAACCUCUGAUCACAUUUACAUAUGGAAAGAAUAAUGGUGUGUGCAAGAGCAAUAGGACAAAUUAGAGCUGUACUGCAGGUGUGCUUGUUAAUUAUUUCUUUGCUGUGUACAGACAGGACUGAGUCACUGGAAUGAGUGAAGGUGCUGAGACAAUUCUGUUUUAUUUGUAGCUUUAUCAUUAACACUUUAAGUGGCCUUAGGCAACUCAGAGGUAGGUGAAGAUGGAUUGUGCUUCAGCUUUGAUGAAUCUUCUGGGUGUACUCAGUCCCAGGGGACCCUGAAUCAGAAGAAUAUUAAAGUGUUUGUUCCUUAUCCAUCUAGGACAGUACCUGGAGGUCCAGAAUGGAUGUCUGGAACACACUAGGCAAGAAAUCAUGAAAGGGUUUUUGACUACUAUUCUACAGCCAUCUGUGGCUUGGUGACUUCUCAAGGUAGAGGUGGCUUCUGUGUAUUUACUAACCCUCUUGUUUCUGUUCUUUAACAUACCAAGACUCCUCUUGAGCCCAUGUAAAUUUUCAUCAUUUGCAGCAUCUGUGGCAAAGGUGCUCCACAGCUUAGCUAUGUGGAAGAUCAUUUUUGCAAACCAAAUCCUUUUGCUUUCACUGAGCCUUCCACCUACCAGCCUUCCCUGGCUGGAAGAGAUGGUGAAUUAGUGAUUAAUGUUCAUACUGUAUUCUGCAGAAAACUGCACCUAUGCAGACCUGAGAGUGCACACAUUAAAUGCUUGUGUGCUAGGACAGAUGUCAGAAUCCUUGCAGGAGACACACCGUGAGUACCUUCAGGAAAGGACCCUGGUCUUUUCUCUAUGACUGGGAGGAGAAAUGGAAUAACUCGUUCAUAUUGCAGAUGGGUGCAGUGAAUAGUUUCAUGUUGUUAGAUAUGCCUGAGGAUCCCCUUAGCAACCUAGAGUUUGUCCAGAGACAACUAUGAUGGUACUCCUGCAGACAAGACACAGAGAAAAUUCACCAUCUGUAAGAUGGGAAAGGUACUGAGAUGCUUUUAAAGCCCCUGAUAAAUCUCUUCUUGGAAAUUUGGUACCCUCUGAACUCAUGGCCUUGGCAGAGGCUUCACUUUCUCACUCUGAUGUUCUUGACAAGACCCUCUCUCCUGAUGUUUUUCAGCAAUAAAGUAUCAACCAGUGGAGCUUACAAGAGCUGGGAAAUAAAGCAGAUUGCACCACUGUCACUACAUGAAUGUGAUAAAUUCAUAGUAAAGUAAAUUCAUGUCUAUUCAUAAUAACUGAACUUUCCAGGAUGCUUUAUUUGUCCUGCUUUAACAUGUCUGUUAAAACUU